AUGGAUAACUUGAUCACAUUAUGUAAUAGUCUUGAUGUGGGAGCUGGAGAACGCGUUACCGCUCUGCAAAUUUUCCCAAAGUUGAAGAAGAUGAGGCUGAUUGAGUUACCAAGGCUGGAGAUGUGGGCAGAAAAUAGUGUGGGAGAGCCUAGUGGUAGCUUGGUAAUGUUCCCGAUGCUCGAAGAGGUAACAAUUAACAAUUGCCCAAAGCUUGCAAGUAUUCCAGUAAUCCCUAUUGUUAGUGAGUGCAGAAGAGAUGGAGUUAACAGUACCACAGUCAGUUCAGUUUUUGUGAGGAUCUGUUCGGGAUUUUGGCGACGAUUUCUCGGCAGCUUAACUCUUGGGUCUCCGAAAGACACAACCAUGUUGCCUCUAGACACCCAGCAAAGCCAAAGCCAAAGAUCUCUUGAAAAACUUAAGUGUUUGACUUUGGAAGGCCCCAACAGCUUGGUCAUAGGCUCUGGAUUGUCCAGAUCACACCUUAUGCUUUGGAAAUGCUUUUCUUUUGUGGAAGAGCUGACGAUUGAGGGAUGCAGCAAUCUUGUCCGCUGGCCAACAGAGGAGUUCCGGUGCUUGGUUCGCCUCCACGGUCUGUGUAUCGAAAAUUGUGACAACCUGGAGGGGAACACUUCAUCGUCUAAGGAGGACACCCUUCCACUGUCCCUAGAGGAAUUGCUGAUUUCAUACUGCAGAAGAUUGGUCAAGCUACCUCCAAACCUUGGAAAUCUGGCCAAGCUGAGGGGUCUUUAUGUGUGUGGCUGCAGUAGCCUAAAAGCGCUGCCUGAUGGGAUGUGUGGCCUCGGUUCUCUUAGGCAAUUGAAGAUUUGGGAUUGUCCAGCUAUGGAAGAAUUCCCGCAUGGUCUCCUGGAGCGGUUGCCAGCCCUCGAAUACUUAAGCAUAGAAGACUGCCCGGAGUUGGGACGACGAUGCAGAGAAGGUGGAGAGUAUUUCCACUUGGUCUCUACUGUCCCGCACAAGUGGAUACCGUCAACUUAUUUUUGA
rnacentral:rRNA from 1 species